rnacentral:rRNA from 1 species
UUGAACGCUGGCGGCAUGCCUUACACAUGCAAGUCGAACGGUAGAGGGGCAACCCUUGAGAGUGGCGAACGGGUGAGUAAUGCAUCGGAACGUGCCCAGUCGUGGGGGAUAACGCAGCGAAAGCUGUGCUAAUACCGCAUGUGAUCUGUGGAUGAAAGCAGGGGACCGCAAGGCCUUGUGCGAUUGGAGCGGCCGAUGUCAGAUUAGCUAGUUGGUAGGGUAAAAGCCUAC